rnacentral:lncRNA from 1 species
CUGGAAGCUUCCGGGGUGCUUCUGUCUCCUGUUCACCUGGCGGCCAACUCCUCCCCAUUUCAGCACCCAGAGCCACACGGAAGGGUUACUGGUGGGUAAACUGGUUCUGCAGAGGAAAGGACUGUCUUGCUUUAACGAGGGGUCCAGGAAUUGCAAGGCCCUACUGGGGAUAGGGGAGGGGUUAGGAGAUGAGACUCAAAGGAAGUGUCUGGCGCAGCGCCUGAAGCCACUAACACGCAGUCUUAGAGGCCUGGAUCCCUGAGAAGUUCAAAGGCUAAGGGAAGAGAGAAGGGGAAUGAGUUGGACUCCCGGCGUUCAUUUCUAUAGUGGGAACUCGUUCCUGUCACUUCUGUUCCCACUAACAGGAAACCUACAGGUCACAGAGACCAAAAAUAACUGAGGAGAGGAAGGGCGGCUGUAAGCUCACACAGGGCCGGGCCCCACCACCACCACCUGCCUCUUCCUCACUGGGGCUGGAACCUUUUCCUCUGCCCUCUAGUAACAACCACUUCCUAACCACCUUUUUUGCUCUGAUGGUGGGGUAGACUAAAGAGAGAAACUAUGACCGCGGCCACUGGAGCAGUCAGCCCCCUCUUACCCAACUAGUCCUCAGGCCCCUAGCAAACACUCCCCAGUCCUUCCCAGUCUCCAUAACACCAACGGCUUGGAUUUCCUGUUCCUUCAUUAUAAGCCAUACUUCCCAGACCCUGACCUGGAAACUGUGGACUCAAGGUUCACUCCCAGAUUACUGGGGAAAGCAGCAAACAAGAAGCGGAGGUAGGGAGGGAGGCUGUGUAGUCUUAAAAAACAUAUUGAGCCUUAAAUAAUUUUAUAUGUGGGAAAUAAAAGUAAUCAUCAAUAAUACACACAUAUACUUUCUAAGAGUCAAAAUGUCAGCUGGUGGGGAAUAUGCCAAAGAUGCAGAAAUUGGUGUGGCUGUAUUCCAUAGUGAUUAAGAACUCGGUCUUUAGAAUCAGAUCACAGUUCCAGUCUUUUAUUUAUUUAUUUAUUUUGAGACGGAGUCUUGCUCUGUGGCCCAGGCUGGAGUGCAGUGGCAUGAUCUCAGCUCACUGCAACCUCCGCCUCCCAGGUUCAAGUGAUUUUCCUGCCGCAGCCUCCUGAGUUUCUGGGAUUACAGGCUCCCAUCACAACCGCCCAGUUAAUUUUUGUAUUUUUAGUAGAGACAGGGUCUCACCAUGUUGGCCAGGUUGAUCUCGAACUCCUGACCUCAAGUGAUCCACCAGCCUUGGCCUCCCAAAGUGCUGGGAUUACAGGUGUGUGUCACCGUGCCCGGCCCACAGUUCCGAUCUUGGCUUCAUUACUUAACUCCAUCAAGAUGCUGAAUCUCUCAGUGGGUUUCCCCAUCUGUAAAUUGGAGUUAAUAGUACCUACUAUUAAGGGUUGCCCGUGGGGUUCAGUUAGAAAAUCCACGCACUGAAAUGCUUAGUUUAUGUCCUGACAUGCAGCAGGAGCCAAGUAAUGUUAGCUUAGCUGGUCUUAUUGGUCUUAUUUUCAACAGGGGAUAAGCUGCUGUAGUGGGAGGUGAAGGAAGGUUUUAGUUUAGUGUUUUUUUUUUUUUCUGAGAUGGAGUUUUGCUCUUGUCGCCCAGGCUGGAGUGCAAUGGCAUGAUUUCAACUCACUGCACCCUCCACCUCCUGGGUUCAAGCGAUUCUCCUGCCUCAGCCUCCCGAAUAACUGGGACUACAGGCGUGAGCCACCACGCCUGGCCGUUUUUGUUUUUUGAUUAAAAAAAAAAAAAA